rnacentral:rRNA from 1 species
UACAGAGGUCCCGAGCGUUGUUCGGAUUCAUUGGGCGUAAAGCGUGUGUAGGCGGGCCCGUAAGUGUCUUGUGAAAUCCCACGGCUCAACCGUGGAACUGCUGGGCAUACUGCGGGUCUUGGGCCAACUAGGGGCAGCCGGAACAAGCGGUGGAGCGGUGAAAUGCGUAGAUAUCGCUUGGAACGCCGAAGGUGAAAACAGGCUGCUGGGGUUGCGCCGACGCUGAGACACGAAAGCCAGGGGAGCAAACGGGG